CACAGGGACACAGAUGAGAUUGACUCCUGUCUCUUUAGGGGUUGAAUCUCAAUGCAAAGCUUUUAUUUUCUCAAAAACCCAUUGUCAUAGUAUUGGCCUCCAGCACAUAGGGCAGUGAGCCCCUUUAGGUUGAUACCACUGUUCCCUCCUAUGGGCGAUGUCAUUUAUCUUCAUUGGGCUCUACUAUCUUCAGAGGUUCUUCUUUUGUGGAAUUGCUUUCUGAUUUUUCAAAGUUCCAUGGCAUCAGUUUCUUCUAGUGGUUAAGAGUGGCCAGCAAGUCACCUUCUCAUGAAGGCUGUUUGUACACCCUCCUGGGGGCCAGAGCAAACUCUGCCAAGACACCAGCCAUGUUUUUGAGGCUUCUCUCCCAAGCAGACUCUGCAACCUCUCUGCAAGAAUGUGCAGACUAUAGCAUGUUUGUGGCAGCCUCACAUACUGAUCCUAGAGCACUUAUAUCUUCCUCAGUGUCAACUUCAAAACAACCUUUCUGUGAAGCUUUGUUAGAUCUAAUAGGAUGCAUGUCUCAUCGACAAAGUGAUUCAGAAAAUGCAAGCAGUCAUCUUCAUCACAGUCCUAUGGACUUCCAGGCUGAGGUGACACGCAGGGCAGGACUGACAGGUAGGCCAAAGUUCUGGGUAGAGAAGGUGGCACCAGGCAAAAGGUUUGGAAAUUGAGUGGAGGGCCUAGGACCAUUGCAGCCAGGAACUGAGAAAGCUGGGGUUGGGACUCGGGGAGAGGGAAGAUGUAGGCCAUAGACUGUAGUCUGACCGUGAGACUCAGGGGAGGAUGCGGUUGAGAGCAUGGAGAGGGUGUCCUUGGGAGAGGACCUAGGAAAUAAGCCUCCAUGAAAGGGCCCUGGAGCAGGAGCUGAAGCCUAAUUGACAUAUCAUCACCCCAUCCCUUCAUGCCCAGCCUCUCUCUGCUGGGAUCACUCCCUGGCAACCAGCUUUUUAUCAAUCCCCUCUACCUGGCUGGCAAAUCCUGAGCUUCACUCCAGGUGGUCACAAUCUGACCCUUGUGACCUCAUGCUUCCCCACCCCCAUUUGUGAAGUUCCAUCACAGGAAGUUCUUCUCCAGUGGCCCCUGAUCCAGGGAGACCCACCCUGCAACAGCCCUUGUCUCCCUCCGCCCUUGGUUCCUUCUCACCCAUCUCACCACCAUCUGCCCAGGGGAGCCACAUGUCCCAAAUUUUGGAGAGAAAAUAAUUGAGGCUCAUUUCCAGGACAGAGGGGCAAGCUGGGUCUAAAGAGCCAAGCAGAAAGGCUUCCCAAAAUCGCUAGGUUGGGAGGGGUCAGAGACGUGUGGCUGCCCCAGCUGUUCUGACUCUGCCCCAGCUUUUGGCUCCACCCCCUUAAAGCACCUUCAGAGGUUCCCAUGGCGACAGUAAACAAGUCUCCACUGCCUUGGCCAUGUGCUGUGUUCACCCCACUCCUGAUCUUGUUGGCUGCUCAGGGGCUGACAGCCCAGAUGUGCAGCUGUGAUGAGCAGAAACAGGGAGGAAUGGAGCCCCCAGCCAUUGUCAUCACUUCCUCAAGCUGUCUAAAUUCUGCCCAGCAGUCUGUGAAAAUGUUGUGCUGAUGACAUAUGUAAGGACUCUAACUCCCCUCAAACAAUCUGCUCACCUGAAAGGCUCACUCCUGUUGUAAUAAAUGACACAUAAGGUCACAAUUCAACCGGUACCCAUCUUGGAUACCACUUCUUAUGUAAACAUCAA
rnacentral:lncRNA from 1 species